rnacentral:rRNA from 1 species
CCUACGGUGGGCAGCAGUGGGGAAUAUUGGACAAUGGGGGCAACCCUGAUCUAGCCAUGCCGCGUGUGUGAAGAAGGCCCUCGGGUUGUAAAGCACUUUCAGUGAGGAAGAACGCCUGGUGGUUAAUACCCAUCAGGAAAGACAUCACUCACAGAAGAAGCACCGGCUAACUCCGUGCCAGCAGCCGCGGUAAUACGGAGGGUGCGAGCGUUAAUCGGAAUUACUGGGCGUAAAGCGCGCGUAGGUGGCUUGAUAAGCCGGUUGUGAAAGCCCCGGGCUCAACCUGGGAACGGCAUCCGGAACUGUCAAGCUAGAGUGCAGGAGAGGAAGGUAGAAUUCCCGGUGUAGCGGUGAAAUGCGUAGAGAUCGGGAGGAAUACCAGUGGCGAAGGCGGCCUUCUGGACUGACACUGACACUGAGGUGCGAAAGCGUGGGUAGCAAACAGGAUUAGAUACCCCGGUAGUC